rnacentral:rRNA from 1 species
UGAGGAAUAUUGCGCAAUGGGCGAAAGCCUGACGCAGCAACGCCGCGUGAGUGAUGAAGGCCUUCGGGUUGUAAAGCUCUGUCUGGUGGGACGAUGUGGUCCGAGUAACGAUCGGAUUGUGACGGUACCACCGAAGGAAGCACCGGCUAACUCCGUGCCAGCAGCCGCGGUAAUACGGAGGGUGCAAGCGUUGUCCGGAAUUACUGGGCGUAAAGCGCGUGUAGGCGGUUCGUUAUGUCGGGUGUGAAAUCCCUCGGCUCAACCGAGGAACUGCGCUCGAAACUGGCGAACUUGAGUGCGGAAGGGGAAGGUGGAAUUCCCGGUGUAGAGGUGAAAUUCGUAGAUAUCGGGAAGAAUACCGGUGGCGAAGGCGACCUUCUGGCCCGCAACUGACGCUGAGACGCGAAAGCGUGGGGAGCAAACAGG